rnacentral:misc_RNA from 1 species
GUCAAGCAUCACUAAAUGCAGAAAGAAGUUGAUGUAAAUACUCGAGAAUAUCCCACUACUACAGCCUUGUGCAGAAUAAAACAGUGUGCGUGUAAAGUAUUAUCAAAAAUCUAGACAAAUGGAAUUAAGACUUGACAAGUCAUUUUUAGCACAUUUCCUACCCGGCCUGCAAAACUGCUCAAUGUACCCUUCAUGGAUAAGAACCAAAGAACGUGUAAAACACUAAAUACUACACACAAAGGGUUUCAAGGGCUAGCAGCUCCUUAUGUUGCUGAUUUCCAUUCUUGCAUGUUAAAGAUGUUUUUGCACAACAAAUGUACACACAUUGGAGCAUCGCUACUACCAUCGGAGUAGAGGCACAUACAACAAACAUCAGUCAUCCCAAGCGUCAUCUGCAGCUCCCUCCUUUUUAAUCAUCGAUGGGGCAAUCAUGUGCCUAUACUUAUCCUCCACAUUUACCGUGGACCCUACUAAAGAGAAUUUAGACAAUUCACUCCUUGCUUCUUUUUCCGCAGCUGCAGCUUCUCUCUCCUUUCUUCUUGCAGUCUUUCCCAUAGCAAUGGUUACAUCAUUGCCAGAACCAAUAUCAGCUAUUGCUCUUCUUAUUUGAGCCACAAGAUACAUAUCACGAUCAGUGUAGAAUGAAGUAGCUCGGCCCGUUGACCCUGCACGACCAGUCCUUCCAAUCCGGUGUACAUAAUCUUCCAUGGUCUUUGGAAGAUCUAGGUUAAUUACAUGUGCAACUCCAGUGACAUCCAACCCCCUAGACGCAACAUCAGUAGCAACCAAGAUAUUGAUAGGUCCAUGUCUGAAAUCACGAAGGGCAGCCUCUCUUUCAUUUUGGCUACGACCACCAUGAAGUGCAGUUGCAAGCAAACCCUGCUGCGUUAAAGCUUCUGCUACUUCAUCACAUUUUGUCUUCCGUUCCACAAAUACAAUGGUCAAAGGGAAAGGAUGGCCAGAUUUUUCAGCUUGAGCAGCCUCCUCAACCAGCAAAUCCAGAAGGCGAUCAAUCUUAUCAUUUUCGGGUACCUUCUCUAAAGUUUGGGAAACAUUUGCUGUCGGGCUGCUUACUUUUCCAACUUUUAUUCGCACAGGAUUAGUCAAGUAAUCCUGUGCCAAUGCUUCAAUUUCUGCUGGCAUGGUGGCACUGAAGAGCAGUGUUUGAUGUUUUACCGGAAGAUUUCGCAUCACCUCUCUUAUCUGAGGUUCAAACCCCAUGUCAAGCAUUCUAUCAGCCUCAUCCAAAACUACAAAAGCAAUCCUGCCGAGGGAAGUAUUUCCUUGUUGUAAAUGAUCUAUAAGUCUUCCCGGAGUAGCAACAACUAUAUGUACUCCUGCUCGAAGCUCAGACCUCUGCUCACUAAUGUUUGUCCCACCUACAACAAUUGCGGUCUUAAAGGAAUCCAAAGACAUGCUGAAAGCCGUAACCUCUUUCUCUAUUUGUUGUGCAAGCUCUCUUGUAGGUGCCAACACUAAUGCCAAAGGUCCAUCACCACGUUGAAGAGGUUGUUGAGCUAGGCAAUGCUGUAUCAUAGGUAUGCUGAAUGCAGCAGUCUUCCCACUACCAGUUUCUGCACACCCCAAGAGAUCCCUGCCACUAAGAGCAACAGGCAUGGCUUGAGCCUGAAUAGAAGUCGGUGCAGUGUAGCCAUGCUUUUCAAUAUCCUUCAUUAUACUUGCAUGCAAGCACAUAUCAGGAAAUGACUCAAUAGGUGAGGGUGCAGGACAUGAGACUGGAGAAACAUUGACAUCUACAUUAAGCCGCAGUCGAAUCUCUUCUAUCUGCUCGGAUUUAAGACGAAGAACACGUUCGGAAGGCUUCCAGUGAGGAAAGAUGGGGUCAGGGACAGCAAAAGUGUUGGGCAAGGAGUAAUUGAGGGAACUCCGGCGAGCUGAACUGGAGUAACCGUUGGAAGACUUUUCGAGAGAAGAAAUUCUGGAUGUGUGUUUGGAAGAGAAGUGAUCGGCGCCUAUACUGUUUAUAGUAGGGGUGGUAGUGGUUUUUCCGGCAGCAGAAUUUCUCAGGUGAGGAGGUACAUAAGACAUUCUCCGUCGCUCGCCGUUAGGGUAUUACUAUCUAUUUCCUUUCUUUUUUCGCGGGAUAAGAUGAGACUAUUUAUUU